CUGAAGUGACUGAACCUUAUCCUAACCCAUCCACAGACCUACUUACACACAUAUAGAAAUAGAGUCUUUGGUAACUCACUCUCCCUCCUUCAGUAGUUCUGACCAGCAGCCGCACUGGAGGAGGUGGGGGCAGAGAGGAAGACGACGACGAGGGAGAGGGAGAAGAGGAGAGAAGAGCAAGUUCCCGUCGGGGCGCCCGGGA
rnacentral:lncRNA from 1 species